UAACGCGUGGAUAACCUGCCGUAUACAGGGGGAUAACACUUAGAAAUAGGUGCUAAUACCGCAUAAGCGCACGGUUCCGCAUGGAACAGUGUGAAAAACUCCGGUGGUAUACGAUGGAUCCGCGUCUGAUUAGCCAGUUGGCGGGGUAACGGCCCACCAAAGCGACGAUCAGUAGCCGGCCUGAGAGGGUGAACGGCCACAUUGGGACUGAGACACGGCCCAAACUCCUACGGGAGGCAGCAGUGGGGAAUAUUGCACAAUGGGGGAAACCCUGAUGCAGCGACGCCGCGUGAGUGAAGAAGUAUUUCGGUACGUAAAGCUCUAUCAGCAGGGAAGAAAAAAAGUCCUUUGGACUUUGGACGGUACCUGACUAAGAAGCCCCGGCUAACUACGUGCCAGCAGCCGCGGUAAUACGUAGGGGGCAAGCGUUAUCCGGAUUUACUGGGUGUAAAGGGAGCGUAGACGGCAGCGCAAGUCUGGAGUGAAAUGCCGGGGCCCAACCCCGGAACUGCUUUGGAAACUGUGCAGCUGGAGUGCAGGAGAGGUAAGCGGAAUUCCUAGUGUAGCGGUGAAAUGCGUAGAUAUUAGGAGGAACACCAGUGGCGAAGGCGGCUUACUGGACUGUAACUGACGUUGAGGCUCGAAAGCGUGGGGAGCAAACAGGAUUAGAUACCCUGGUAGU
rnacentral:rRNA from 1 species